rnacentral:rRNA from 1 species
UACAGAGGUCUCAAGCGUUGUUCGGAUUCAUUGGGCGUAAAGGGUGCGUAGGCGGCGCGGUAAGUCGGGUGUGAAAUCUCGGAGCUUAACUCCGAAACUGCAUUCGAUACUGCCGUGCUUGAGGACUGGAGAGGAGACUGGAAUUUACGGUGUAGCAGUGAAAUGCGUAGAUAUCGUAAGGAAGACCAGUGGCGAAGGCGGGUCUCUGGACAGUUCCUGGCACUGAGGCACGAAGGCCAGGGGAGCAAACGGG